AUUGAACGCUGGCGGCAGGCCUAACACAUGCAAGUCGAACGAGUGGCGGACGGGUGAGUAAUGUCUGGGAAACUGCCUGAUGGAGGGGGCUAACUACUGGAAACGGUAGCUAAUACCGCAUACCAUCGGAUGUGCCCAGAUGGGAUUAGCUCGUAGUUGGGGUAAAGGCUCACCUAGGCGACGAUCCCUAGCUGGUCUGAGGGGAUGAUCAGUCAACCUGGAACUGAGAACGGGUCCAGACUCCUACGGGAGGAAGCAGUGGGGAAUAUUGGACAAUGGGCGAAAGCCUGAUCCAGCCGGGCCGCGUGUGGGAAGAAGGUCUUCGGUUUGUAAAGCACUUUAAGUUGGAGGCGUUACCAACAGAAUAAGCACCGUCUAACUUCGUGCCAGCAGCCGCGGUAAUAC
rnacentral:rRNA from 1 species